GUUUGUGUUUCCGGUUGUGCUCUUGCUUGAGUUUGUUUUUACACGAUGCUCCACAGAAUUCCAGCGUUUAUACGUCCUCGUCCUUUCUCGGGCCUCCCUUUGUCCUGUGGAAACAGGGAGGUCUCGGUGGCUGCGAGUGUGCUACCCGCGGCUGGGUCCGGAGCUGUCAGGCAUCCUGGGUAAGGAAGUCCCUGCACCAAGGCCCUGAGAACCAUUAUGUGAUGCCAUGAGAAUGAAGUCUGAGCUGUGUUAGAAACCCCAAGGUUUUGGAGGCCCCAAAUCUGAGAGGCAGCUGCUGAAGAGAGCUGUGAGCAGAGGGAACCGUCCUGGAGAGAGCUGUGUGUUGCAGACAGCAAAGCUGGAAGGGAGGAGCCGUCUACAUUUCGUGAUGUCAGACAUGGAGCCACAGGAUUUGCUGUUUGCCCUGCUGCUUUCCAGUCUUGCUUUAGUCCACUAUGUCCUAAUGAGGCCCACUCCUCCCUUUUGGAAUAGUAAUGUGUGUUCUGUGCCAUUAUAUGUAGAAAAG
rnacentral:lncRNA from 1 species